rnacentral:rRNA from 1 species
CUGCUGCCUUCCGUAGGAGUCUGGGCCGUGUCUCAGUCCCAAUGUGGGGGGCCUUCCUCUCAGAACCCCUACGCAUCGUCGCCACGGUGGGCCGUCACCCCGCCGUCUAGCUAAUGCGCCGCAUGCCCAUCCGCCACCGGAUCGCUCCUUUGGCCACCGGAGGAUGCCCUCCGGUGGCGUCACGGGGUAUUAGGCCGCGUUUCCGCGGGUUAUCCCCCUGUGGCGGCCAGGUUGCAUACGUGUUACUCACCCGUGCGCCGGUCGCCGG